rnacentral:rRNA from 1 species
UACGUAGGGGGCAAGCGUUGUCCGGAUUUAUUGGGCGUAAAGAGCGUGUAGGCGGUCAGGUAGGUCCGUUGUGAAAACUCGAGGCUCAACCUCGAGACGCCGAUGGAAACCAUCUGACUAGAGUCCGGAAGAGGAGAGUGGAAUUCCUGGUGUAGCGGUGAAAUGCGCAGAUAUCAGGAGGAACACCGGUGGCGAAGGCGGUUCUCUGGGCCUAAUCUGACGCUGAGGAGCGAAAGCGUGGGGAGCAAACAGG